AGUAAACUGACAGUGAGUCAGCCCUGCAGCCGCCCUCAAGCUCCGCGCACCCGUCUGCCUGAGCGGGUGUUCACCACGAGGUGAGCGAAAACAGAAGAAAAGCAGAAAACACUGUAUCUCCGAAGAAAUCAUUCAUCUAUGAGACUCUUGUUUAGUGACUGAGUCCAGGAUCACGUCAAAGAUCGUGAGAAGAAGCUAAAACCUGUAGAUGCUCAUGGCCGAGUAUGUCUCUACACUGACUGGCAGCCAUAUCAGUUGAUGUCAUACCAUCAGCAACCAUGACAUCCGUAUACAGCUCCAACGAUGGCGUCUUUCCCACAUCUUUUAACUAUUUUCCCCAUGUCCUCCUUGUUUAAUGUAAGAAUUGGAUCAUUCAUUUCUGUAUUGGAAAAAAAAAAAACCCAUAAAGCUAAUUUGUUUGGUUGACUGGUCGAUUUCCUGGUUUUUGAGAAGAUACAGAUUCCUCUGAGAUGUGAUGUGGCGGUGGUUUUUACAUUUCCAGAUGAUAUUUGAUAUAGGGAAGUUCAGAUUUAAUAGACAACCGAAGCAUUGUGGAAGCAAAGAAAUAAUCAACAAAGGCAUGGCUGUGGUGGGUUAAACAGGAAGUGGGCCAUCACUGACACUUUAUUUCCUCUUGUGAGUGGACCUGGUGUGCAGACCAAUCAAUUCUACAGUACCAUGAGUCACCGAAUUGUGUUAGUGUAGCACCCUCCCUUCAUACAUUCUGCUACACAGGCUUUUAGACCUGAUGAGCAAAUGUGUGCCUCAUGCAAUGACUGACCUAAUUUCAGCUCGUCACUGUGUAGAGUUGCUAAGUGAGCAAACAAUAUCGAAAGGCAAGACAAAUAUAUACCGUAGACCUUUGCACAUUUAUAAGUGGAGUAAGGAAUAACCCAAGAUAAGGCGGAGUUACUGUUACCACCACAACACUGAUUAUUUUCUUAUAACACGACCGAAUGUUUUAUUCCUCUUAUAGCGCGGCAAUUUGCCAACUAUUACAAUUUUUCAUUUAGUAAAGCAUUUUGAAAAAAUGUCCUCGUAGAAAACUCCACAUCAACAUACAACACAUACAUUUACCUUGCAUUAUACUACAGCGUGGUUGAUCUCUCAAAUCUGAUUGGUCAGAAGGUGUGCAUUAUUUGUGUAUAACCUCACAGCUCAGACGGUGGUUCCGACCGUAACAUGAAUGACAGGUUUAUAGAGUAUUAAUGCGCUCGUUCUGAUAUGUUAUCGUUGCUACAGUAACUGCUCAUAUGUAGGGACUCGUACAGCGGAGACUCUGAAUAAUCGAAUACUAAUAACAAACAGAUUAUUAGAGGGAGUGUGGAUUUUU
ensembl:lncRNA